GACGAACGCUGGCGGCGUGCUUAACACAUGCAAGUCGAACGGAAAGGCCCUGCUUUUGUGGGGUGCUCGAGUGGCGAACGGGUGAGUAACACGUGAGUAACCUGCCCUUGACUUUGGGAUAACUUCAGGAAACUGGGGCUAAUACCGGAUAGGAGCUCCUGCUGCAUGGUGGGGGUUGGAAAGUUUCGGCGGUUGGGGAUGGACUCGCGGCUUAUCAGCUUGUUGGUGGGGUAGUGGCUUACCAAGGCUUUGACGGGUAGCCGGCCUGAGAGGGUGACCGGCCACAUUGGGACUGAGAUACGGCCCAGACUCCUACGGGAGGCAGCAGUGGGGAAUAUUGCACAAUGGGCGGAAGCCUGAUGCAGCAACGCCGCGUGCGGGAUGACGGCCUUCGGGUUGUAAACCGCUUUCGCCUGUGACGAAGCGUGAGUGACGGUAAUGGGUAAAGAAGCACCGGCUAACUACGUGCCAGCAGCCGCGGUGAUACGUAGGGUGCGAGCGUUGUCCGGAUUUAUUGGGCGUAAAGGGCUCGUAGGUGGUUGAUCGCGUCGGAAGUGUAAUCUUGGGGCUUAACCCUGAGCGUGCUUUCGAUACGGGUUGACUUGAGGAAGGUAGGGGAGAAUGGAAUUCCUGGUGGAGCGGUGGAAUGCGCAGAUAUCAGGAGGAACACCAGUGGCGAAGGCGGUUCUCUGGGCCUUUCCUGACGCUGAGGAGCGAAAGCGUGGGGAGCGAACAGGCUUAGAUACCCUGGUAGUCCACGCUGUAAACGGUGGGUACUAGGUGUGGGGUCCAUUCCACGGGUUCCGUGCCGUAGCUAACGCUUUAAGUACCCCGCCUGGGGAGUACGGCCGCAAGGCUAAAACUCAAAGGAAUUGACGGGGCCCCGCACAAGCGGCGGAGCAUGCGGAUUAAUUCGAUGCAACGCGUAGAACCUUACCUGGGUUUGACAUGGAUCGGGAGUGCUCAGAGAUGGGUGUGCCUCUUUUGGGGUCGGUUCACAGGUGGUGCAUGGCUGUCGUCAGCUCGUGUCGUGAGAUGUUGGGUUAAGUCCCGCAACGAGCGCAACCCUUGUUCACUGUUGCCAGCACGUUAUGGUGGGGACUCAGUGGAGACCGCCGGGGUCAACUCGGAGGAAGGUGGGGAUGACGUCAAGUCAUCAUGCCCCUUAUGUCCAGGGCUUCACGCAUGCUACAAUGGCUGGUACAGAGAGUGGCGAGCCUGUGAGGGUGAGCGAAUCUCGGAAAGCCGGCCUCAGUUCGGAUUGGGGUCUGCAACUCGACCUCAUGAAGUCGGAGUCGCUAGUAAUCGCAGAUCAGCAACGCUGCGGUGAAUAAGGUCCCGGG
rnacentral:rRNA from 1 species